CAAGAUUGCAUUUUUCUUUUCUUUUUUUUUUUUUUGUCCCAAAAUCCCAGAAAAACCCCCACAAUUUUGAAUCAUUCCUUCGGCUAAUUGCAAAGCAAAGAAUCCCAGAAAGGAAUUUCAUCGAACACGCAACACUUCGCGCGCAGAAACUCACUGUAAUAAUCACGAUUUGAUGACCCAACAAUGAAAUGGAUGGAAUUGAACUCACACCCUCCACCGUUUUCUUCUCUUCCACCAACCCAAGAUAUCUGAGUCAGAUUCACUGCCACCAAACGCCGUCGUUUCCAUUUCAGCUACCAUGAUCACCACCCUUCUUAAACCCCUUUUUAAGUCUCAGCUUCGGAUUAGGUUUACGCUUUCCUUCCCUCUUUCCCAUGGACGCUGCCAGCUCUCGUCCCGCUGUAGUAAUCGAUAAUGGCACUGGGUAUACGAAAAUGGGUUUCGCAGGAAAUGUUGAACCGUCUUUCAUACUUCCCACUGUAGUUGCUGUUAAUGAGUCAUUUGUCAACCAGCCGCGGGCCAGUUCUACGAAGGGCAGCAAUUGGUUAGCGCAGCAUAGCGCGGGGGUGAUGGCGGAUCUGGAUUUCUAUAUAGGGGAAGAAGCCCUGGCUAGAUCUAAAUCUAGUAGCACUUAUAAUUUGAGCUAUCCCAUUAAGCACGGUCAAGUGGAUAAUUGGGAUGCAAUGGAAAGGUUCUGGCAGCAGUGUAUAUAUAAUUAUUUGCGAUGUGAUCCAGAGGAUCAUUACUUUUUGUUGACUGAAAGCCCGUUGACUUCGCCGGAAAGUCGGGAAUACACGGGAGAGAUUAUGUUUGAAACUUUUAAUGUUCCAGGGCUUUAUAUCGCUGUGCAGCCUGUGCUUGCUUUGGCUGCAGGGUACACUACAUCCAAGUGUGAGAUGACAGGAGUAGUUGUGGAUGUUGGAGAUGGGGCUACUCAUGUUGUACCUGUUGCAGAUGGUUACGUUAUUGGGAGCAGCAUUAAGUCGAUUCCAGUUGCUGGGAAAGAUGUUACUCACUUCAUACAGCAGCUCAUGCAAGAAAGAGGAGAACAUGUUCCACCUGAGGAGUCUUUGGAAGUAGCCCGGAAAGUGAAGGAAAUGUACUGCUAUACUUGUUCUGAUAUUGUAAAGGAGUUCAAUAAACAUGACAAAGAGCCAGCAAAAUUCAUUAAGCAAUGGAGAGGUACUAAGCCAAAGACUGGGGCUCCAUAUUCUUGUGAUAUUGGCUAUGAACGAUUUCUUGGCCCUGAGGUCUUCUUUAACCCUGAGAUUUAUAGCAGUGAUUUUAUAACCCCCUUACCAGAUGUGAUAGACAAAUGUAUUCAGUCUGCGCCUAUAGAUACAAGAAGGGCCUUGUAUAAGAAUAUUGUAUUAUCUGGAGGAUCAACCAUGUUCAAGGACUUCAACAGAAGGCUGCAACGGGAUCUAAAAAAGAUUGUUGAUGCUCGGUUUCAAUCGUCAGAUGUUCGGAUUCGUGGAGAAGUGAAAGCACAACCAGUGGAAGUAAAUGUUCUCAGCCAUCCUAUCCAGAGAUACGCAGUUUGGUUUGGAGGCUCAGUACUUGCAUCUACUCCUGAGUUUUUCAAGGCUUGCCAUACCAAGGCAGAAUACGAGGAAUAUGGUGCGAGCAUAUGCCGUACAAACCCUGUUUUCAAGGGAAUGUAUUGAUACGAAUAUCAUCUGAAUUGAAAAGUCGGGUGGGUAUUUUUGUCAGGAUGUCUAGAAAUGAUACACAAUGAAUCCCAUCUCCAGCACAUGGCUGAGUUGACAUAUGCAAAUUCAACUGCUGCAAAUGACUUGAUGCAUUUUUGGUGGUUAGGUUGUCAUCGGAGGAUAUUUCUGUCCGAAUUGUAAAGACGAGGUUCUUGUAUUCUUUUAGUAGGAAUCAACAAUUCUUCCAAGCUCAGGGGUGCUGAUGCUACUGCAUUUUGUAGGACAAGUUGGCUCUUCUGCAUCAAAUUAUUGUCAUCCAUUGAAGUGUUCAGCUUCAGUGAGGUUUGAUACGAAUGUUUUGUUUAGGGAAGAAUAAUAAACAUAUGCCUUACAUUGGAAUUUGAUGUUUGGAUUGGUUAGAGUGUAGUGGAAAAUCACCAUAUUUCAUUGGAAAAUUAUUAUAAUUAAUAUUUUUGCUUGCUGAAUUCAUUAAA